rnacentral:rRNA from 1 species
AACGAACGCUGGCGGCAUGCCUAACACAUGCAAGUCGAACGAGACCUUCGGGGCUAGUGGCGCACGGGUGCGUAACGCGGGGGAACCUGCCCUUAGGUUCGGAAUAACUCCCCGAAAGGGGUGCUAAUACCGGAUAAUGUCUUCGGACCAAAGAUUUAUCGCGAUUGGAUGGGCCCGCGUUGGAUUAGCUGGUUGGUAGGGUAAAAGCCUACCAAGGCGACGAUCCAUAGCUGGUCUGAGAGGAUGAUCAGCCACACUGGGACUGAGACACGGCCCAGACUCCUACGGGAGGGAGCAGUGGGGAAUAUUGGACAAUGGGCGAAAGCCUGAUCCAGCAAUGCCGCGUGAGUGAUGAAGGCCUUAGGGUUGUAAAGCUCUUUUACCCGGGAUGAUAAUGACAGUACCGGGAGAAUAAGCUCCGGCUAACUCCGUG